rnacentral:tRNA from 1 species
GUGUGGGGCUCAGUGAUAGAGCACUUACCUAACAUGCAGGAGACCCUGGCUUCAAUCCCAGAACCACACA